CAGCCGCCGAGGAAAUGCGGGUUGUACUCCGCGUCAUGACAUAUUGGUUACUUAAAAAACAAAUUGAUAAUAAAGGAAAAUACAUACCAGAUUCAUUUUCAGGUUAAAAAAUACACUCAGAGAACUUGUAAUUCUAAGUUUGGUUGCUAUGGGUCCUCCUCAAAAAUAGUACGAUACAAAGUUAUUCGGCCUGAAGGAAACAGAACCACAUCUUUACUCUGGGCCAAUUUGUCUUGGAGCUUUGAAGUUUGAGUAUUUGCUGUGUAAAAGAGAAUAAUUUGAGAGCUAGAAGAGACAUUUGUUUGGAGUUUGGCGGGUGACUCACCAAUUCAGACAUGAUGGUUUAAGUGGGCGUAUUACUCACUGACCUUUAAGUCACUCCUUCACAUCACAGACUGCAUAUAACUAGACGACUAAGAGAGAAAACAACACAAGGUGAUGAUGAGCACUUUGGAAACCUCCAAGUGCGGAGAUAAUGUUUUAGCUGUUUCAGAUCCACCAUUAAGGAUGAGCGGCUGCACUCUCGACACCUCAUGCAUUUUUAACAGGUCAAUAUUCUCUUUGCUGCUUCUAUCUCCAUUGCCUCCUUCUACCUCUGUCCUUUGCCUCCUCCGUGCCACACCAUCUGUUCUGUAAUUGUUUUUUCCUCACCUUUCCUCCUCAAACACCUGAUUGAUGAUUUGGUCUCCAAAAGCUCGGUCAAUAAUGUCUUGCAUUGCUAUGUCUCACAAAAACCUACUCCCUCUCACAUUGUAGCGAAGUUUCUCUAGUACAGUUCCUUGAGUAUAGUUCCUUGAGGAACUAUACCAACGUAACCUAGCGUAGUCAGUGUACCGCUUGUACUGUUGUGGGACAUGCGCAUUCUGCGUCACCCUCUGCUGCUGGUCCAACCAGAGGAUCCGCUGACAGUGUACUCCAGACAUGCCCCCGCGCUCAUCAAGCGGACCGCGCCCACUCUCCGCCCCAGCCGGCCGCAGUCGGCAACGGUGACUGAUGACGUGAGGCUGUAUAAAGGGACCAGUGGACUUAGGAUCGGCGAGGGAACUUAGUUCUCAUAUGCACUCGUGUCACCCCUGCUGUUUCACUCCUGGACCUGUUUGCCUUCCUGGAUCCCCGACCUCGUCUUUGGACUUUGGACUCGCUCUCCCGCCUUUGGCCCCCUCGCUUGGACUUUGGACUUCCCUGCCUGCCUUGCCCUCGUCUGACUGCACCGCGUCUCCAACACAUUGGUAACACACACUCCAAUUAAAUACUUUACAUAGUCUUACACCAUACAUAAUCUUGGGUUGUUGACACACACCAUUCUAUAGUUUAUUAGUAUUGUUUAUUUAUUAUUAUCAGUAUUAUAUAUAGAUAUAUUCACUAUAUAUAUUAAAUCUCUGUACACUAUUGCCACCUAGUUUCCGUUUGCCGUCACCUCCAUUUGUAAAACAUAACAUGUACAGCAGCAAUGAUGUCCUAUGCACUGAAAAUGAGCCAACACUGUCACGGCGUGGACUCUAACCCUUGUUCCUCAUGCUACUGAGUGUCACAAUUCCUCCUCUGCCUGCUCCCCGGACACGCCCCUGCUCAAACUGGGCGCAACACGCCCACGCACCGACAAGGCUGCAGACAAUCACGCAUCAGCGCAUCUGGACCUGACUAGAGGAAGCUGUCAUGAUCCACGUCUUGGAUCAUGGCAUAUUCUGGCUUUGGUUCUGUUUGUUAUCACAUUCUGUCUUGUAUUUGUCUUCCUCAGUUCUUUGUGGCACUUCCUAGUUUGUGUCUGUUGUCCUAGCAUUGUACUUGUGUCACCUGCCUUCCGUUUAAUCACGCACACCUGCCUCAAGAUUUUCCUCCUUAUUUAAGACCGCCUUUGUUGGACAUUCAUUCUUGGACUCUUGUUUGCUCCCACGUAACAGAUGACGUCGCAUUCCAGCAUUGUGGUAACUAUUAGCGCUCGAUUAGCUUCCACGCUAUUUUGUUUGUUCUUUUCCCUAGUUCUCACGCUUUCUGUUCUUUCUAGCUUCCACGCUAGUUCUGUUGUUUUGUUUGUUAGUGCCUUCGUGCAAAGUGUUUCGUUUCCUAGUCUGUUUUAUAGUGUUCUUUAGUGUGUAAACAAAUCAUUAUCCUUACCCUCACGCUGUGUUUCAUCUUUGCUGCACCCACGAGAGAACAACUCGUCACCACAAUGCCACCGAGAUGUCACAGAAGCGGCAUAAAAAGCCAAGGAAGCCAGGGAACCUUCGCCAGGACAUUGCCUAUCUCCACUGAUGUCUUCGGCGACCGUGUCUUGCCUCACGACUUCCUCUCGGAUCUUUGCUUGCCUUCCCCAAUCCUCGACCACUGCUUGGACCCGGACAUCGUUGCCUGUCUCCGGCCCCCGACUGCUUGCCUCCCUACUAACUGCCUCUUUGCCUUCCCCCUUGGGUUCAACGAAAGAUACAUUCAACACGCACCGACAACAUCCUCUGGUAAAUCCCACAAUGUUAAUUCUACUCAUCGGCCGCAUUCACUCACUAGCAUACACACCCCACACAUUCAUCAAAGGUUUUAAUAAACCCUUUA